rnacentral:rRNA from 1 species
GACGAACGCUGGCGGCGUGCUUAACACAUGCAAGUCGAACGGAAAGGCCCUGCUUUUGUGGGGUGCUCGAGUGGCGAACGGGUGAGUAACACGUGAGUAACCUGCCCUUGACUUUGGGAUAACUUCAGGAAACUGGGGCUAAUACCGGAUAGGAGCCCCCGCUGCAUGGUGGGGGUUGGAAAGUUUCGGCGGUUGGGGAUGGACUCGCGGCUUAUCAGCUUGUUGGUGGGGUAGUGGCUUACCAAGGCUUUGACGGGUAGCCGGCCUGAGAGGGUGACCGGCCACAUUGGUACUGAGCUACGGCCCAGACUCCUACGGGAGGCAGCAGUGGGGAAUAUUGCACCGUGGGCCGAAGCCUGAUGCAGCGACGCCGCGUGCGUGAUGACGGCCUUCGGGUUGUAAACCGCUUUCGCCUAUGACGAAGCGUGUGUGACGGUAAUGGGUAAAGAAGCACCGGCUAACUACGUG